rnacentral:rRNA from 1 species
CGGGGCCGCACAAGCGGUGGAGCAUGUGGUUUAAUUCGACGCAACGCGAAGAACCUUACCAGGGCUUGACAUCUUCUGACCGCUUAAGGAAACUUAAGCUUUCCGGAAGGUUUACUUUCUGGACAGAAAGACAGGUGGUGCAUGGUUGUCGUCAGCUCGAGUCGUGAGAUGUUGGGUUAAGUCCCGCAACGAGCGCAACCCCUACGGUUAGUUGCUAACGGGUAAGGCCGAGCACUUUAGCCGAACUGCCGUUGACAAAACGGAGGAAGCGGGGAUGACGUCAAAUCAUCAUGCCCUUUAUGUCCUGGGCUACACACGUGCUACAAUGGCCUGUACAAAGGGCAGCAAAGGGGCGACCCGGAGCAAAUCCCAAAAAACAGGUCUCAGUUCGGAUUGCAGGCUGCAACUCGCCUGCAUGAAGGCGGAAUCGCUAGUAAUCGCAGGUCAGCAUACUGCGGUGAAUACGUUCCCGGGCCUU